rnacentral:rRNA from 1 species
AAUUUUGGACAAUGGGGGAAACCCUGAUCCAGCCAUCCCGCGUGUAUGAUGAAGGCCUUCGGGUUGUAAAGUACUUUUGCCAGAGAAGAAAAGGUACCUCCUAAUACGAGGCACUGCUGACGGUACUUGCAGAAUAAGCACCGCCUAACUACUUCCCACCAGCCGCGGUAAUACGUAGGGUGCAAGCGUUAAUCGGAAUUACUGGGCGUAAAGCGUGUGUAGGCGGUUCGGAAAGAAAGAUGUGAAAUCCCAGGGCUCAACCUUGGAACUGCAUUUUUAACUGCCGAGCUAGAGUAUGUCAGAGGGGGGUAGAAUUCCACGUGUAGCAGUGAAAUGCGUAGAUAUGUGGAGGAAUACCGAUGGCGAAGGCAGCCCCCUGGGAUAAUACUGACGCUCAGACACGAAAGCGUGGGGAGCAAACAG